UUUUCAAGAGUAGGUAAGAUGUUAUCUUAAGUGUAGGUAAGAUCAUUGUAAGCAGAAGUAUUUCAUGGUUAUUUGUGAGGGGAAAUAAUGUGGUGAAAUGAAUAAUAGAUGGUUAAAAAUUAUCUUCAUAUUUCAGCAGAGAAAGCCUGUGACCUGAAAUCGAGGUACCCUUGAUGAAGAAUUUAUUUAUUUAUUUAAUCAAACGGAACAAGCCAUUUUACAGAUGUACCAGAUAUUCAAUACUCAACUACCAAAAUCGGUAUUACAUAUGUAUAUGCUAUCUUCUUUGAAAAAAAAUAUAUCGAGAAAAUGUUGCACCAUAUUUGUACUUCUGGAUAAUUGAAUAAUGUAUCAAUUUCUUAAAAUUAUAGAUGACAGUUGUUCUAUUUU